UACGUAGGGAGCAAGCGUUGUCCGGAAUCAUUGGGCGUAAAGCGCGCGUAGGUGGUCCCGUAAGUCCGCUGUGAAAGUCAAAGGCUCAACCUUUGAAAGCCGGUGGAUACUGUGGGACUAGAGUACGGAAGAGGCGAGUGGAAUUCCUGGUGUAGCGGUGGAAUGCGCAGAUAUCGGGAGGAACACCGGUGGCGAAGGCGGUUCUCUGGGCCUUACCUGACGCUGAGGAGCGAAAGCGUGGGGAGCGAACAGG
rnacentral:rRNA from 1 species